CUUUGAACCCUAGACUGCUUGCUCCUUGCUCCUUCGUUUGAACCCUCCCUUUCUGCUUGCUCCUUCGUUUGAACCCUCCCUCUCUUUGACAUUGAAGCCCUACCCCUUCUUCCAUUGAAGCUCCUUCACUUGUUCUUCCAUUGAAGCUCCUACCCCUUCUUCCAUUGAAGCUCCUUCACCUCUUCGACUUCAUCGCUCCAACUUCUGGUUCAGUUUAUUCAAGUUUUACAAUUUCGUGGCUCUGAAACUAUUAGAUGGGGAAUUGUUUGCGCAAGGCAUGGACAACUAAUCUAGUUGUAAGGACUAAGGAGCAAUAUUAGUCGA